GACGAAGGAUGCAAGCGUUAUCCGGAUUCAUUGGGUUUAAAGGGAGCGUAGGCGGCCUUGUAAGUCAGUGGUGAAAUCUCUCGGCUUAACUGAGAAACUGCCAUUGAUACUGCAGGGCUUGAGUACAGUUGCCGUUGGCGGAAUAUGACAUGUAGUGGUGAAAUACAUAGAGAUGUCAUAGAACACCGAUUGCGAAGGCAGCUAACGAAACUGUAACUGACGCUGAGGCUCGAAAGCGUGGGUAGCAAACAGG
rnacentral:rRNA from 1 species